CAUGGCAACAUUCAAGCAGAGACGUUCUGAAAUGAUUCAAUUUUGUACUAAAUUUUCAAAACAACGUUAUAAAUGAUUGUGCUAAAACACCGCAAAGAAAUCUUCAGAAACAAUGAGUGAUGCAGAUGAAAAGAAGGAAAGCUACAGUGAUAUUGACUCGGCUAUAUAUGCCAUUGCACCGAAACUUUCUCAGGAAGAAGGGCAAGUAGAUGUGUCAUCAAGCCCAGCUUUUCAAUGUUUGGACGAUGUG